GACGAACGCUGGCGGCGUGCUUAACACAUGCAAGUCGAACGGAAAGGCCCUGCUUUUGUGGGGUGCCCGAGUGGCGAACGGGUGAGUAACACGUGAGUAACCUGCCCUUGACUUUGGGAUAACUUCAGGAAACUGGGGCUAAUACCGGAUAGGAGCUCCUGCUGCAUGGUGGGGGUUGGAAAGUUUCGGCGGUUGGGGAUGGACUCGCGGCUUAUCAGCUUGUUGGUGGGGUAGUGGCUUACCAAGGCUUUGACGGGUAGCCGGCCUGAGAGGGUGACCGGCCACAUUGGGACUGAGAUACGGCCCAGAAUCCUACGGGAGGCAGCAGUGGGGAAUAUUGCACAAUGGGCGGAAGCCUGAUGCAGCAACGCCGCGUGCGGGAUGACGGCCUUCGGGUUGUAAACCGCUUUCGCCUGUGACGAAGCGUGAGUGACGGUAAUGGGUAAAGAAGCACCGGCUAACUACGUG
rnacentral:rRNA from 1 species